GCCAAUUCAAAAGAAAAAGGAAAGCAACCCAAACAAACCUUUAAAACUUACCAAAAUGAACGAGGAACCACCUGAAUACCAGAUUGCAACAAUCGGAACAAACGAUUGUCGAAUAGAGAAGAGAGAAAAAUAACAAAAGAAAACAUAAGGGAAAGGAAGAGGGAGAGAAAACUAACGUCAGAAAAGAAAGAAAAAUUGAGUAAAGGGAAAAAAAUAAAAUAAAAUAAAUUUAAAUUUAAAUCCCACAAUAUCUCAACCCCCCAUUAUCCCACUAACUAACAAACCCCACUAAAUCGACCCACUAACUCUCAACUACCUCAGAAUCCCACUUUCACCGAACCUAGAUUACACAACCGAAACAAAAUUUAUCAUAUCUUAC
rnacentral:lncRNA from 1 species